CCUACGGGCGGCAGCAGUGAGGAAUAUUGGUCAAUGGGCGCGAGCCUGAACCAGCCAAGUCGCGUGAAGGAAGACGGUCCUAUGGAUUGUAAACUUCUUUUAUCGGGGAGUAAAAGGCGCCACGUGUGGCGUUCCGAGAGUACCCGAAGAAAAAGCAUCGGCUAACUCCGUGCCAGCAGCCGCGGUAAUACGGAGGAUGCGAGCGUUAUCCGGAUUUAUUGGGUUUAAAGGGUGCGCAGGCGGAAGAUCAAGUCAGUGGUAAAAUUGAGAGGCUCAACCUCUUCGAGCAGUUGAAACUGGCUUUCUUGAGUGAGCGAGAGGUAGGCGGAAUUCGUGGUGUAGCGGUGAAAUGCAUAGAUAUCACGAAGAACUCCGAUUGCGAAGGCAGCAUACCGGCGCUCAACUGACGCUCAGGCACGAAAGUGUGGGUAUCGAACAGGAUUAGAUACCCUUGUAGUC
rnacentral:rRNA from 1 species